rnacentral:rRNA from 1 species
UACAGGGGGUGCAAACGUUGCUCGGAAUCAUUGGGCGUAAAGCGCACGUAGGCGGUUACUUAAGUCGGAUGUGAAAGCCCUUGGCUCAACUGAGGAAGUGCAUCCGAAACUGAGUAGCUAGAGUACGAAAGAGGGUCGCGGAAUUCCCGGUGUAGAGGUGAAAUUCGUAGAUAUCGGGAGGAACACCAGUGGCGAAGGCGGCGACCUGGGCAGAUACUGACGCUGAGGUGCGAAAGCGUGGGGAGCAAACAGG